UCUAAGUAUAAACGAUUUAAUCGUGAAACCGCGAAUGGCUCAUUAUAACAGCUAUAAUUUACUUGAUCUUGACACAAUCCUACUUGGAUAACUGUGGUAAUUCUAGAGCUAAUACAUGCAUUAAAGCUCUGACCUCACGGGAAGAGUGCAUUUAUUAGAACAAAACCAAGCGGCUUCGGCUGUUUCUGGUUGACUCAUAGUAACUGAGCUGAUCGCAUGGUCUUGCACCGGCGACGUGUCUUUCAAGUAUCUGCCGUAUCAACUUUCGAUGGUAGUGUAUCUGACUACCAUGGUGAUCACGCGUAACGGAGAAUAAGGGUUCGGCUCCGGAGAGUUCGCCUGAGAAAUCGCGAACACAUCUAAGGAAGGCAGCAGGCGCGAAAAUUACCCACUCUCAGCACGAGGAGGUAGUGACGAAAAAUAACGAGACCGUUCUCUUAUGAGGCCGGUCAUCGGAAUGGGUACAAUUUAAACCCUUUAACGAGUAUCUAUGAGAGGGCAAGUCUGGUGCCAG
rnacentral:rRNA from 2 species